rfam:Parcubacteria (Magasanikbacteria) bacterium GW2011_GWA2_37_8 TS58_C0003, whole genome shotgun sequence.
GGGCGGGUGGCGAAAUUGGUAGACGCGCAAGUUUCAGAAGCUUGUGGGGGCGACCCCUUGGAGGUUCAAAUCCUCUUCCGCCCA